rnacentral:rRNA from 1 species
GAUGAACGCUGGCGGCGUGCCUAAUACAUGCAAGUCGAGCGAACGGACGAGAAGCUUGCUUCUCUGAUGUUAGCGGCGGACGGGUGAGUAACACGUGGAUAACCUACCUAUAAGACUGGGAUAACUUCGGGAAACCGUAGCUAAUACCGGAUAAUAUUUUGAACCGCAUGGUUCAAAAGUGAAAGACGGUCUUGCUGUCACUUAUAGAUGGAUCCGCGCUGCAUUAGCUAGUUGGUAAGGUAACGUCUUACCAAGGCAACGAUGCAUAGCCGACCUGAGAGGGUGAUCGGCCACACUGGAACUGAGACACGGUCCAGACUCCUACGGGAGGCAGCAGUAGGGAAUCUUCCGCAAUGGGCGAAAGCCUGACGGAGCAACGCCGCGUGAGUGAUGAAGGUCUUCGGAUCGUAAAACUCUGUUAUUAGGGAAGAACAUAUGUGUAAGUAACUGUGCACAUCUUGACGGUACCUAAUCAGAAAGCCACGGCUAACUACGUG